UUCUAGUGUCCCCUGGGUCCCCCGCGAGUUGGGCAGCUCCACGCGCCCAGGCCUUGGCGCCCCGUCCCCGGCUAGGGCUUAGGUGAACUUGGGGUGGGGUAUGUGUGCGCGCGCGUGUAUGUGCGUGUGUCUGUGUGUGGAGGGGGAGGCUAGGCUGGGAACGCAGUUUUCUUUCCCAGUUUGUUAUUAGCGACUGGAUUUUUACUUUAAGACCGGCUUUGCUCACCGCUGGGGUUGGGAGGGGGCGAUCUUUUCCCAUCACUCACAUCUUUGUUCAUUGUUCACUGAGUGGAAGGCAGGCGACUUAAAAAGACGAAAGAGCGGAAAAAGAAGGGAGAGCAUGAGAGGGGAAAGGGGGGGACAAGAAGAGGGAAGGAGGCAAGGAGUAGGGAGAGGCCCCCGCACCCGACCGGGUCGCGUUUGACGGCGAAAUAGUAAACCCACACACGGAGGGUCGCCAGGAAAGUGGACAUUAUCGCUUUAAUUAACUUCGAGAUGCUCCAGCGGCGGGCCCUGGCGUAGCCGUGACGCGCCCCCAUAAAUCUGGCCGGCCCGGGGCUGCUCCGAGGACUCGUACAGUAGCGGCGUCAGAUCCAACGCGCGCCUCCCAGUCUGGAGUCCAUUUGCAUAAUUGGAUUUUUUUUUUUUGCCUCCUUCUUUCUGCCCGAAACUUGUUUGAAAACCCAAGCGAAAACCGCGACGACCUGCGCACUCAAAAGCAAGUGCCAAUUCCUGACCACCACGGCUUUAAGAAUAUUCUUCACCCAGGAGGGAGCUGCAUUGGUUUAAGACUUGUCUGGGAGCUGGGACGCCCCUCUGGCAAUCUGUCAGUGCCUGAACCAGCAGCCUCCUUCCUGGAGUAUUUUCUCACCAGACUGACAGUCCUUAAGACAAGUAUGCAGUUAAGCUGCUAAGAGGGGGAAAGGUAACUAGAGAAGAUGAAAGGAAGAGCCACAUUUGUGGGUGGGAGGUGUGUUGUUUCAGUUUUCUUUCUUCUUCAAUAAUAGGUACGGAGUUUUAGUAAAGGACUUCAAGGCAAAAGGAAAAAAAUAGCAUAUACUGUUAUGGGUUAUUUUUAUCUUUCAUUUUUAUGACAACUUAUUUGUACUUAAGAGAAUCUUUCCAAAGAGUUAGAAGCAUCAUUAAAUAAAGACUGUGAAAUGUGCAAUAUGGCUUAUUUAUUUAAAUGUUAAUUGGUCCAACGAACACU
rnacentral:lncRNA from 1 species